rnacentral:lncRNA from 1 species
CACAAUCCCUCUAUGCUUUUGUCCUCACUGAAGCCAAACCACCAGGUUUGAGAAGUAACAGACAAAGGAAGUGAAGCCCACUGGUGCUCACUUGUGGUCAAGGGUGGUCACCCAGAGAUGGUCACCCAUACCCACACACAUACACCGGGCAGGGGCUCUUUCCGCUCUGGCCGGAAUGAUUGAUACCAGGUAUUAGCUUUAAUAUGGUUUCCCUUUACUCCCACCCACACCCCGGGAGUCCAGGGCUCUCAGUACUAAGAAGCCUUUUUCACUAGUGUUCUUAUCGCCUCAGCCUAGUCUCCACUUUUGCUCGCAGAAGCAGGAACAGUGCUAGCUUCCAGCAGACUGCUGGAUUGUGCAUUUUCUAAGGCUUUUUUCCUAGCUGACUCAGAACCCCCAGCAGAUAAUCACCCACAGGUCCCAGGUUAGCUUUUCUAGAAUUUUAUAUUUGACAGUAUUUAUACCAGACGACUUGGAAGUCGCAGACGUGUUGGCGAAAACAUUUUGUGUGUAUGUGUGUGUGUGUUUUUUUUUCCUAAAGCACUAGGUUUUUAGAAGACUUCCCAUUUAAUGGGAGCCUGGAAAAUGUCCAACAUCGGCUGCUUAGCUGAGUAUUCCUGACGGUCCUCUCCCUGAUAACUCGGGUUCAGGGCUUAGGUCUGAACAGGCAACGAAGCAGCCGCAGACACUGCCUUAGUUAGACACAGGGCCACGUGACCGGCACAGUCUCACUCCCUUGUCCCUGAACAGCAAUAGUGAAUUCCCUGCCUAAGCUGGGAUUUCCUCCACAUAGAAUAGCGACUGCCUCUGGAUGUGGCUAGCUAGGCUUGUGUGGAACCAGAGCAUGACUUGUGGGCAGCAAGCCCCUCGCAUGGCUGGUGGCUCAGCUCUCUGUGUUCAGGCCAAUAAACAUUGAGUAGAGAACCUCG